GUACAUAUAUUUUUGUCUCGCUUUCUUUCUUUUUUUCUUCCUCUUACGUAAAUAUUUCUGCUAACUAAAGCAUACUUCCACUGUGUCUUCCUCCGUUUGUAUAUAGAUUUCAAGUACACACCAGGUCAGCAUAAUGUACUUGAGGUGACAAAAGCCAAUUACGACUCCUGCGAUACAAGCAACCCGAUCAGCAAGAAUACAACAGGGAACGAUAAGGUGCUACUUACGGAGGUUGGAACUAGGUAUUUCAUCUGUGGAUUCACCGGUCACUGUGCCGGAGGAAUGAAGCUUGCUGUUGAUGUUGUAGCUUCUGGGCAAGGAUCCACUUCUCCUUCACCAGCGGUGCCAUCACCAGCGGUGCCAUCACCGCCACCACCACCACCACCACCAGCGGCAUCUUCUGCAGAUGGUU
rnacentral:lncRNA from 1 species